UACAGGGGGGGCAAGCGUUGUUCGGAAUUACUGGGCGUAAAGGGCCAGUAGGCGGCCAACUAAGUCCGACGUGAAAUCCCAAGGCUUAACCUUGGAACUGCGUCGGAUACUGGAUGGCUUGGAUUCGGGAGAGGAAUGCGGAAUUCCAGGUGUAGCGGUGAAAUGCGUAGAUAUCUGGAGGAACACCGGUGGCGAAGGCGGCAUUCUGGACCGACAUUGACGCUGAGGAGCGAAAGCCAGGGGAGCAAACGGG
rnacentral:rRNA from 1 species